AGAGUUUGAUCCUGGCUCAGAUGAACGCUAGCGGGAUGCUUUACACAUGCAAGCCGAACGGCAGCACGGACUUCGGUCUGGUGGCGAGUGGCGAACGGGUGAGUAAUAUAUCGGAACGUGCCUAGUAGCGGGGGAUAACUACGCGAAAGCGUGGCUAAUACCGCAUACGCCCUACGGGGGAAAGGGGGGGAUCGCAAGACCUCUCACUAUUAGAGCGGCCGAUAUCAGAUUAGCUAGUUGGUGGGGUAAAGGCCUACCAAGGCCGCGAUCUGUAGCUGGUUUGAGAGGACGACCAGCCACACUGGGACUGAGACAUGGCCCAGACUCCUACGGGAGGCAGCAGUGGGGAAUUUUGGACAAUGGGGGAAACCCUGAUCCAGCCAUCCCGCGUGUGCGAUGAAGGCCUUCGGGUUGUAAAGCACUUUUGGCAGGGAAGAAACGGCGUCGGAUAAUACCUGACGUCACUGACGGUACCUGCAGAAUAAGCACCGGCUAGCUACGUGCCAGCAGCCGCGGUAAUACGUAGGGUGCAAGCGUUAAUCGGAAUUACUGGGCGUAAAGCGUGCGCAGGCGGUUUGGCAAGAAAGAUGUGAAAUCCCAGGGCUUAACCUUGGAACUGCAUUUUUAACUGCCAGGCUAGAGUAUGUCAGAGAGGGGUAGAAUUCCACGUGUAGCAGUGAAAUGCGUAGAUAUGUGGAGGAAUACCGAUGGCGAAGGCAGCCCCCUGGGAUAAUACUGACGCUCAUGCACGAAAGCGUGGGGAGCAAACAGGAUUAGAUACCCUGGUAGUCCACGCCCUAAACGAUGUCAACUAGCUGUUGGGGCCUUCGGGCCUUAGUAGCGCAGCUAACGCGUGAAGUUGACCGCCUGGGGAGUACGGUCGCAAGAUUAAAACUCAAAGGAAUUGACGG
rnacentral:rRNA from 1 species